rnacentral:piRNA from 1 species
UCUACAGACAUGAAACCCCAGCCCUGGGCC